AUUGAACGCUGGCGGCAUGCUUUACACAUGCAAGUCGAACGGUAACGGGCCUUCGGGUGCCGACGAGUGGCGAACGGGUGAGUAAUGCAUCGGAACGUACCUUUCAGUGGGGGAUAACGUAGCGAAAGUUACGCUAAUACCGCAUAUUCUGUGAGCAGGAAAGCAGGGGAUCGCAAGACCUUGCGCUGAUUGAGCGGCCGAUGUCAGAUUAGCUAGUUGGUGAGGUAAAGGCUCACCAAGGCGACGAUCUGUAGCGGGGUCUGAGAGGAUGAUCCGCCACACUGGAACUGAGACACGGUCCAGACUCCUACGGGAGGCAGCAGUGGGGAAUUUUGGACAAUGGGGGCAACCCUGAUCCAGCCAUGCCGCGUGAGUGAAGAAGGCCUUCGGGUUGUAAAGCUCUUUCGGCCGGGAAGAAAUCGUAUGGGCUAAUACCCUGUGCGGAUGACGGUACCGGCAUAAGAAGCACCGGCUAACUACGUG
rnacentral:rRNA from 1 species